CAGCUGCCCUCCACCACACUUUUUGCCAUGAUGUUCAAAGAGCCCAGCAAACCACGGACUGACCUCUAAACUGUGAGCCAAGAUCAACUUUCCCUCCUCUAGGUCAUUCCUCUCAGGCCUUUUAGUCACAGUGACACAGGACACAUAUUUACCAAGGGUGGGGUCCUGCUGCAGCCAAUAGUUAGAAGUGUGGAAGCAGCUCUGGAACUUGGUGACGUAGGGAGUAGAAGCAUCCAGAGAUGCAUUCUAGGUCAUGACUAGAGCAUUCGGGGCGAUUCUGGUGAGGGGGCAGGAGUGUGGGAGAGCUGUGGAGGAAGGCCAGGCUCCGUGGACAGUAUCUGUGAACAGAAUGCAAACUACAGGUGGAAAGGCCAUUCUGCUGAGGUCUCCUAUGGAAACAGGAACCACGCUGGUGGAGAAGGGAGGAGGACCUGUGACCCUUGCUAUGUAAAGGCCAAUGGCUGGCUGCAGUGUGUCCAUAUAUCUGCGCUGUGUGACAGGUAGAACCUGAGAGUGGUAACUGAGAAUUGGCUGAAGAAAUUUCUAAGAGAGUGUUGAAGGAGGGUCUGGUUCCUCUUGACUGCCUUUAGUGAAAUGGGAGAAAACAGAAAUACCCUGGAGACAGAAGUGUCAAUCAAAAGGGAGCAGAACUCUAAAAUCUGGAAAAUCCUCGCCCAUCCAUGGGAAAAGGAGGACAUCUGCUCAGGAGGAAAUAGGGUGUGUGUGGCCAUGUCAUAGGGAGAUUAGUGUGGGUCAGCAUCUAAAGGGAAGCCAGGAAUUACUGGUCAAGACAAGGGAAGACUGACCCCCCGGCACUUCAGAAUCUAUCAUGGCCUCCCUCCUCAUCACAGACCCAGAAUGCAGGGCCUCAGGCCGAGCCAGGGCCAAGCUGCCCGGCCCUGCCUCACCCUCACACCAGGCCCACCCUCUGCUCUGCCCUGAGCACUCCUGCUGCACAGCGCAGCUCUGGAGGGCAGUUGCAGUGAGCAUGUUGUGCAGCAGAGCUGUAGGGGCAAGGGCACCUGAGAGGUUGCUGAGACCCAGGCACAGACCACCCCAGGGAUGGGGCCACUGAAGGAAGCCCCCACUAGGACAAUGUCAAGUAGAUUCAUGGGAGUGGGAGCCCUAGGGUUCAGACAUCUGCAUGGCAAAGCUGAGGGCAUGCACCCCCCACCUAGUGGGCCUGGAGGACAGAGCAUUGAGCCACAGUUUCCUGUCAUUCCUUCUUCCCUCCCUGUUCUUGCUUCUGGAAUGGGAAUGUCUGGCCCAUACCGGUCCCACUGUUGUGAUUGGCAGCACAUAGCAUGCUCCAUAUCACCAUCUGGAGGGGAAUUCUCCCAGGAUGAAACACCUUGGACUCUCAGCCACAUUUGAUGAGAUGAGAUGCUGGACUUUAGACUUUGGAGUUGAUUUUGGAAUGAUCAAGGCUAUUUGAGCCAUCAGGAUGGAAUGAAUGAAUCUUGCCCAUGAGAAGAACAAGAAUCAGGCAUCAGAGAGGCAGGGACGGAAUGCUACAGUCUGAAUGGGUGUAUUCCUCAAAACACAUGCUGGAACGUAAACCCUAGAUGAUGGUGGCUAUCAGGAGGGAGGCCGUUGGGAGGAGUUCAGCCACGAGGGUCUGCCACUGAAUGGGGUGGAUGUUCACAUGAAGGAGGCUUCAGAGAGAGUCCUCUCCUGCCCUGCCUUCUGCCAGGUGAGGGCACAGCAUUUGUUCCUUCAUUCUGCUAUUCCUUCUCCUGCUACAUGAGAACACAGCAACAAGGACCCAUCUUGGAGGCACGGAACACCCUCACCAAACACUGAAUCUCUUGGUAACUUGAUUUGGGAUUUUCCAGCCUCCAUAACUAUGAGAAAUAAAUUUCUAUUAAUUACAAAUUACCUAGUCCAAGACGUUUUGUUCUACAGCAAUGUGGGACUAGGACAGUUAUUUUAAUGUUUCAUAAAAGCAGUAUUUAGGGAACUAAGUUUCCUAAGGUUCACAAUAUAAUUUGGAACUGGGCUAUUUACCACCAACAGUGGAAGAAGGGGGACAGAUGUCUCCCUGAGCGUUGGAAAAAACCUUGCAAUCUGGUUAUUGCUAUCCAGGAUCCUCUGUAAGAACAUACCAUAAGAAAUCACAGGCCAGUGAGAGCAUGCCAAGAUUCAGUCCUGCCCCCAAGGGCUCUGACCCAGGGAGACACAUCCACACUCAGGUCUAUGUGGAUGUGACCUCAGGUCCAUGUGGAAGCAUCCUCUGGUCUAUGUGGAUGUGACCUCAGGUCUAUGUGGAUGUGACCUCAGGUCUAUGUGGAUGUAACCUCUGGACUAUGUGGAUGUAACCUCUGGACUAUGUGGAUGCGUCCUCUGGUCUAUGUGGAUGUGAC
rnacentral:lncRNA from 1 species